CUUGAAGACUCACCUUUCAUUUUCAUAACUUGACACCAUCAACACAUUUGCUGUCAGGAAUGGACCAAUGUCUAUCAGAAAUAAAGGCAGUGCCAAGGCUACUGAGGAGAGGUACAAAGACAAAGGUGCAUAUAUUGUUCUAGAACAUCCGAAUUUUGAUGUUCCAAUCAUACAUAGUUUUGAAGCCAUUACUCCACAACCAAAGGCCAAGUCUAAUUGAUUCCGACGAAGAAUUAGAUUUGGCAACAAUGGCAACUGAUCCAUGAAUGUAAAUCGUAUCUAAUUUAUGAAAUGAUUCAAUUGUGUGUUGUAUACUUUAGUUUUUAUUUCAUUGAAGUGAAAAUUUUUUACAUUUCUAUUUCAAUUAUUAAAAUUAUGACUUAGUAUGAUUAAUGAAAAUUUCAAUCCAUCUGUUCUUCAA